GACGAACGCUGGCGGCGUGCUUAACACAUGCAAGUCGAGCGGUAAGGCCCUUUCGGGGGUACACGAGCGGCGAACGGGUGAGUAACACGUGGGUGACCUGCCCUUAGCUCUGGGAUAAGCCUGGAAACUGGGUCUAAUACCGGAUAUGACUCCAUGACGCAUGUUGUGGGGUGGAAAGCCUUGUGCGGCUAGGGAUGGGCCCGCGGCCUAUCAGCUUGUUGGUGGGGUGAUGGCCUACCAAGGCGACGACGGGUAGCCGGCCUGAGAGGGCGACCGGCCACACUGGGACUGAGACACGGCCCAGACUCCUACGGGAGGCAGCAGUGGGGAAUCUUGCGCAAUGGGCGAAAGCCUGACGCAGCGACGCCGCGUGAGGGAUGC
rnacentral:rRNA from 1 species